rnacentral:rRNA from 1 species
UACAGAGGGUGCGAGCGUUGUCCGGAAUCAUUGGGCGUAAAGGGCGCGUAGGUGGCCUGCUAAGCGUGCGGUGAAAGCUCGGGGCUCAACCCCGAGUCGGCCGUGCGAACUGGUGGGCUUGAGCACUGUAGAGGCAGGCGGAAUUCCGGGUGUAGCGGUGGAAUGCGUAGAGAUCCGGAAGAACACCGGUGGCGAAGGCGGCCUGCUGGGCAGUAGCUGACACUGAGGCGCGACAGCGUGGGGAGCAAACAGG